AGACUUGCAAGAAUCACAGUAACAGAGUGGAGCACCUUCUUGAUGUGUUAGGAACUUGAGUCAUAAUUUGUUGUUGACUCAGAACAAGUGUUUGGGGUUAUCUGCCUCAGAG
rnacentral:lncRNA from 1 species